rnacentral:rRNA from 1 species
GAUGAACGCUAGCGGCAGGCUUAAUACAUGCAAGUCGAGGGGCAGCAUGGUGUAGCAAUACACUGAUGGCGACCGGCAAACGGGUGCGGAACACGUACGCAACCUUCCCAUAACUGGUGAAUAGCCCUCCGAAAGGAGGAUUAAUACACCGUAACAUAAUGAAGAGGCAUCUCUUUAUUAUUAUAGACUUCGGUCGGUUUUGGAUGGGCGUGCGCCUGAUUAGGUAGUUGGCGGGGUAACGGCCCACCAAGCCUACGAUCAGUAACUGGUGUGAGAGCACGACCAGUCACACGGGCACUGAGACACGAGCCCGACUCCUACGGGAGGCAGCAGUAAGGAAUAUUGGUCAAUGGACGAAAGUCUGAACCAGCCAUGCCGCGUGAAGGAUGAAGGCCCUCUGGGUUGUAUACUUCUUUUAUCUGGGACGAAAAAAAGGGGAUUCUUCCUCACUUGACGGUACCAGAGGAAUAAGCACCGGCUAACUCCGUGCCAGCAGCCGCGG